rnacentral:misc_RNA from 1 species
GGAAGAAGAAAGGAAAACAAUACUCAUUUAGAGGAUUGUGAAUUAAAUUGUUUGCUUGCUGGGCUGUUAAUUUUUGCUCAAGCUUUAUGUUGUUUAUUGCAUUCAUUAUGCAGUGGGUUACCUUUUCCCAUCGGUAGCAUUGUCUUGAACCUUUGUAUUCUCAGUUUGAUUCUACUUUUUAUCGACUCCUGCAUUUCUAGGUAAUUGUGGAGAAGGCUGAGAGAAGUGAUAUCCCCAAAAUUGACAAGAAAAAGGGCAGUAAUGUCUACAAUAUAUGAU